rnacentral:sRNA from 1 species
GUCUCCCGUUAGGAGCCGGGGAGGCAAGGCCCAGCGAACGGUCCGGGGGAACCUUAACUAUCGUUUCUGUGCCUGGACAGUAGGUUGGAGAGUGGGGUCUGAAUGAGCUACAGUAGUGAACGCCGACGGCUUGUGUUGAGGGCAGGAAAGGGUGCGCACAACUCAGCAGGUGCUUCCGCGAGAAAGGUGACUGAUACAACAACGUAGAGGACCCUGCAAUGUGGAGAGGCAUGAAACUGGAGGUCCAAAUCCGUGAGUUAACAACCAAGACGUCCAUACAGGAGAUGCAUUGGUGGAUGGGUGAAGAGAUGAUAAAACGAAAAGCCCAGAGGAGAAAUGAAGAUGCAAAGAGAAAGAAAAAAACCCCAACCAGAGAGCUGCAAGGAUAUCAGGAAGAGGGAGUGUCCGGGGACGGAGCAGAGCGCGCUUUUCCGAACGCCUUACUCCGGGCUGGGGCUGCUUUCUGCAAGCCCGUGCGGUGCACGUGAGGAGGCUUUCCUUGCGGUGGUGAAAUCAAACACACCUAAGGCGGGAGUCCUCCAGACUUUCCUCACCUGGGCAGCUUGGCCCCGGCCACCUGUGCCUCGCCCGGAGAAACUCCAACGUGCAGGGCACUGAUGGACGAGAUAGAGCACGACAUCACCAAGGCUCGGCAGAAGAAGACCAAGGUGGGAUCCUUCCGAAUCAAUCCUGAUGGGACGCAGGAGAGGAGAAAGAUCCCCCUAGCCCAGUCGGAGGCGUUCCUAACGGACCUUUUGCAGAAAGUCUGUGAGCGAAUGAACGACUACAAGCUUGAGGAAGACCCUGUGACGAAGGAGAGAACUUUCAAGAGAUUCGCUCCUAGGAAAGGAGACAAAAUAUACCAGGAAUUUAAACAAUUGUAUUUUUAUUCUGAUGCUUACAGACCUUUGAAAUUUGCGUGUGAAACUAUAAUAGAAGAGUAUGAAGAUGAAAUAUUCUCACUUAUCGCCCAGGAGACACACUAUCUAGCUGACAAGCUGUGCAGUGAAAAAUCAGAUCUGUGUGAAACUUCUGCUAAUCAUACUGAGCUCUAGGAGUGCCGUGCUGCUGGUCAUAGAGAGGAGUAAAGUCACACCCAAAGGUCAAUGUCUGUAUUUUAUGUUUGCAUGUUGUCUUUCAUGAUAAGAAAAAUUUUGUCUCUUGUUUAUACCGUGUUUGUCUCCGUUUAUGAUUCAUUUUGAAAAUCUGUUGGUUGACAUCAUGACAAACCCUGCGUUUUUUUAUAGGUGAAGCUGAGGAGUACAUGAAACUUAAAUUAACCUUUGCAGAUUUUGAUAAAUCAAGCUUGACAAUAGAGGAUUUAAUUCUGUAUUGAGGAAAAAAGUGAAGACAUUUCAUAAACAAAAUAGGGAUUUCAUAAUGUAUGCUGCUUAUUUUAUAACAGUGUAUGUGCACAUAUGCAAGCGCAGUAGCUGUCUGAUAAGAACUGGAUUUGAAUCCUCAAAUACUUGAUUGCCUACAAAUUUAAGGAAAUACAUGGCAACAAAUUCAAAAUAUGGCCUUCUGGGUGAGAUAUGGCUAUUGGUGAAAGAAACCCACUUUUUAUCAGGAAUGAAAUUUAAAUUUUUAGAAACCACAAGUUUAAAAACCCAUCUCUAAAAUUUAGUGGAAUGUGUAAAAACUAAUGAGUGCUUUAAUUUAUAGUAAACAAUAAUUAUAUUGGCCUCUCAAACACCAUUCUGAGUUUAAGUGGCUUAGAAAGUUGAUUUAUUAUUGCAUCAGGUGUUAAAAGAUGACACUAGUGAUUGCGUUUUGUUUUGCUCCAAACUCUUCUGGUUUGUUUGUUUUUCUUCUAAAGGUUUUUUUGGCUCACAUUUAGUGUGCUGAGUUUACUACUAAAUAAUCUACCAUUCUUCUACAGGAAUGGAAAAAGAGUUGGGACCUGGUGGGAAAUUAUCUUUUGGCCACACUUAAUAUACAAAGUCUAGUAACAAUCACUCCCGGAAAUUUCUUUAUCUCUGUUACAUUUGCAUUCAAUGGAAUCUGACUUUAAUGAUUAAAAAUGUCAGGGUAUGGUCUACACCAGUUUCUAAAAAGAGAUUCUCAUUGUUUUGGUGACAAUCAAGUGGGUAGGAUGCUACAAAUCCCCCCCUCCCAAGACCCAAAACUCUUUGCCAUAUUGUUACUUAGUUGCUUAAAAAGCACGUUAUGUGUUUAAAUCAUUCUCCUGACCCUUCAGCAGGAAACAAUUCUUAAAUUUAGGAAAAUUUACCAAAGCUAAGGGGAAGGGCUUUCCAUGCCCCCUCCCCACCUAAACUCUGAUUAAAAGUUAGUGAGUUAAUGUCACUUAAUUACUUGGGUGCUUCUUUUUUGUCUUGUCUGUGGCUGCUUAAGUCUGAUGGCUCCUACAUAACCCAGCGAACUCGUGCUAGAGCUGACACACCAUGGAAAUAGAACUGAAUAAUAAUUAACACUAUUUUCCAGUAGGGUAGGACAAUUGUUAUUUAAAACAUAGUCCCUAUAGCUUUAUUUAAACGUAUCUAGUUAAGGUUAAUUUGGCAUUUAAAGUAGUAAAUCAGGAACAUUCUCCUAACUUGGAUUUUCCUGGGAAAUGCACUAAACAGGACAAUUAUUCCUGAAAACCUAGUGACCUUCACAGGAACAUGGCGGGACCUGUGACACUAAGUAAGCUUCAGUGAAAACUGUUCACAGUCGUAACCGUAGAAGUGUUGCCAAAUCUGUUUCCAUACUCUCAUUGAUCAUCAUCAAACAUUCUCAAAUGUAGGCAAUGCUAACACUAAUUAUAGAAAUUAAGAAAAUGUGGGCUCCUGUUUGUAACUAAACAGACGUGGGGAGGUGCACCUCCUGUCACUGAGGGUUGCCUUUCAUUGACAGUGACGCUUUGCUUUGAAUGGAGAGGGCGAGGAACCUUGACUUACAGUGACUAAGGUUGUGCUAAAUAUGGCAUUUCAGGUUUUUUUCUUGGAUUUCCCAUUAAAAAU